AUACGGAGGGUGCAAGCGUUGUUCGGAAUUACUGGGCGUAAAGCGCGCGUAGGCGGUCUGUUAUGUCAGAUGUGAAAGUCCUCGGCUCAACCGGGGAAGUGCAUUUGAAACUGGCAGACUUGAGUACUGGAGGGGGUGGUGGAAUUCCCGGUGUAGAGGUGAAAUUCGUAGAUAUCGGGAGGAAUACCGGUGGCGAAGGCGACCACCUGGCCAGAUACUGACGCUGAGGUGCGAAAGCGAGGGGAGCAAACAGGAUUAGAUACCCCGGUAGUCC
rnacentral:rRNA from 1 species